ensembl:snoRNA small nucleolar RNA SNORD53/SNORD92
UAAAUAUGAUGAUACCAGAGAAUGGUUUCGCUUGUUUGACUGAUGUUAUGUGAUGUUAAAAUUCUCUUGGCUGUCUGAUUAA